rnacentral:rRNA from 1 species
UACGGGGGGAGCAAGCGUUGUUCGGAUUUACUGGGCGUAAAGGGCGCGUAGGCGGCCAGCACGAGUCAGUUGUGAAAUCUCCGAGCUUAACUCGGAAAGGUCAACUGAUACUGUGCGACUAGAGUGCAGAAGGGGCAACUGGAAUUCUCGGUGUAGCGGUGAAAUGCGUAGAUAUCGAGAGGAACACCUGCGGCGAAGGCGGGUUGCUGGGCUGACACUGACGCUGAUGCGCGAAAGCCAGGGGAGCGAACGGG